rnacentral:lncRNA from 1 species
AGAAUCUUCCUACUGAACAAAUGGAAGGGCUUGUCAAUAGGACACUCUAUUGACAUACAUAACCCAACAAAGAGAAAGAAAAGUGUUGAUCCACCAUGAAGGGAAUGAAGAGGAAGAAUCCCAGAUGAAGAAUUUGGAGCCACUCCACAAGAUGAAUGUCAAUUUGUGGGACCAUUCCAUGCAGAUGCAUCCAUGUAGCCAGAGGAUGAAAUUAACAGAAGGGAAAUUAGACAGCUUUGUGGAAAGCUCUCCUGAAUUCUCCCGUUCAUCUGUCCACAUCCUGCAACACCUUGGGUAAGUCAUUUAGACCCUCUUGGACUUAUAAGAUGGAGGAAUGUGAGAGAUAACCUCUAAGAUCUCUUGGAGCUCUUGAUCUCUGAGUAUAGGUGACUGUACACCCACCGUCCUUCUCCAUCUGAGUAAAGCUCUCUAGAUUCUGAAAUACAUCAUACCUUUAGAGAAUCAGCAUUUGCUGCCUAAAAUCUGACUUUCUGGGCUGACUAAACUUAAAUGAUCUCAGCAACACACUGAUCAAGCUGGCAAUGCAAAACAUGUCCUGCCUGCAGGCUUCAACAUGACACAGACACCUAAUGGAAUAGCAGAAACCUCCUGCAGGGUGGGCAGGUAUUUAAUUUUCUUGAGAGAUAUGAAGGCAGCACACUUUCUUCUACAUUUGGAACUGCCUCAGUGAGGGUUCCUUGACACCCGUGCAAAUUGAGCCUGCGAAUUAGGCUGAAAGAUUAGAACCCAAAGCAAAGGGGUCUUAUUCAGAGCUAUAUGAAAUAGUCCUAGGCUGCCUGGAAAGUAAUCCUGCUGCCCAUUCCUUCAGGCAGGACAACUGAUGAGAUUUUAAAAGCCACCUUGAAGCAGUCAAAGGAUGCCAUACUUUCCAAGGAGCAGUGCAAAUAUGCAGGUUGCAUUUAUAAAUUAGAAUUCUCUAAACAGGGCUUCCUUAUAACUUGUGCAUUCAUAUGUUGCUAGUGCAAAGCUAUGAAUUUUCUGAUUUUUUG